CCUACGGGUGGCAGCAGUGAGGAAUAUUGGUCAAUGGACGAGAGUCUGAACCAGCCAAGUAGCGUGAAGGAUGACUGCCCUAUGGGUUGUAAACUUCUUUUAUAUGGGAAUAAAAUGUUCCACGUGUGGGCUUUUGUAUGUACCAUAUGAAUAAGGAUCGGCUAACUCCGUGCCAGCAGCCGCGGUAAUACGGAGGAUCCGAGCGUUUUCCGGAUUUAUUGGGUUUAAAGGGGGCGUAGAUGGGUUGUUAAGUCAGUUGGGAAAGUUUGCGGCUCAACCGUAAAAUUGCAAUUGAUACUGGCAGCCUUGAGUACGGGUGAGGUAGGCGGAAUGCGUGGUGUAGCGGUGAAAUGCAUAGAUAUCACGAAGAACUCCGAUUGCGAAGGCAGCUUACUAAACUGCCACUGACAUUGAUGCUCGAAAGUGUGGGUAUCGAACAGGAUUAGAUACCCCUGUAGUC
rnacentral:rRNA from 1 species